rnacentral:sRNA from 1 species
UCAGAAAUGCUAACAAAAAACAGACACGU